UACGUAGGGUGCAAGCGUUGUCCGGAAUUAUUGGGCGUAAAGGGUGCGUAGGCGGCGCGGUAAGUCGGGUGUGAAAUCUCGGAGCUUAACUCCGAAACUGCAUUCGAUACUGCCGUGCUUGAGGACUGGAGAGGAGACUGGAAUUUACGGUGUAGCGGUGAAAUGCGUAGAUAUCGUAAGGAAGACCAGUGGCGAAGGCGGGUCUCUGGACAGUACCUGACGCUGAGGCACGAAGGUCAGGGGAGCAAACGGG
rnacentral:rRNA from 1 species